rnacentral:rRNA from 1 species
UAGAGUUUGAUCCUGGCUCAGAUUGAACGCUGGCGGCAGGCUUAACACAUGCAAGUCGAACGGUAACAGGAAGCAGCUUGCUGCUUUGCUGACGAGUGGCGGACGGGUGAGUAAUGUCUGGGAAACUGCCUGAUGGAGGGGGAUAACUACUGGAAACGGUAGCUAAUACCGCAUAACGUCGCAAGACCAAAGUGGGGGACCUUCGGGCCUCAUGCCAUCAGAUGUGCCCAGAUGGGAUUAGCUAGUAGGUGGGGUAAUGGCUCACCUAGGCGACGAUCCCUAGCUGGUCUGAGAGGAUGACCAGCCACACUGGAACUGAGACACGGUCCAGACUCCUACGGGAGGCAGCAGUGGGGAAUAUUGCACAAUGGGCGCAAGCCUGAUGCAGCCAUGCCGCGUGUAUGAAGAAGGCCUUCGGGUUGUAAAGUACUUUCAGCGAGGAGGAAGGCAUUAGGGUUAAUAACCUUAGUGAUUGACGUUACUCGCAGAAGAAGCACCGGCUAACUCCGUGCCAGCAGCCGCGGUAAUACGGAGGGUGCAAGCGUUAAUCGGAAUUACUGGGCGUAAAGCGCACGCAGGCGGUCUGUUAAGUCAGAUGUGAAAUCCCCGGGCUCAACCUGGGAACUGCAUUCGAAACUGGCAGGCUUGAGUCUCGUAGAGGGGGGUAGAAUUCCAGGUGUAGCGGUGAAAUGCGUAGAGAUCUGGAGGAAUACUCGGUGGCGAAGGCGGCUCCCUGGACGAGACUGACGCUCAGUGCGAAAGCGUGGGGAGCAACAGAUUAGAUACUCCUGGUAGUCCACGCGUAACGAUGUCGACUU